ACGCGGUAACAUUCUAUAACUAAGAGUUUAUGUGAAGAUAUGAGAAUAACAAUGCCACAAGUGCAAGCACCAUAUGACCUCAUCAAUCCCACAGAGUAGUGCACAAAGGUGUAAAUAGGUUUGGAUUGCCAAGGCGUGCACAUGCCAUAUAAAUGGCCAGCUACAGCCCCGGAAUUUAAUUCGGUAAUGAUCCUUCCGCAGGUUCACCUACGGAAACCUUGUUACGACUUUUACUUCCUCUAAAUGACCAAGA
rnacentral:misc_RNA from 1 species